rnacentral:rRNA from 1 species
AGUGAACGCUGGCGGUAGGCCUAACACAUGCAAGUCGAACGGCAGCACAGUAGGAGCUUGCUCUUACGGGUGGCGAGUGGCGGACGGGUGAGGAAUACAUCGGAAUCUACUUUUUCGUGGGGGAUAACGUAGGGAAACUUACGCUAAUACCGCAUACGACCUACGGGUGAAAGCAGGGGAUCUUCGGACCUUGCGCGAUUGAAUGAGCCGAUGUCGGAUUAGCUAGUUGGCGAGGUAAAGGCCCACCAAGGCGACGAUCCGUAGCUGGUCUGAGAGGAUGAUCAGCCACACUGGAACUGAGACACGGUCCAGACUCCUACGGGAGGCAGCAGUGGGGAAUAUUGGACAAUGGGCGCAAGCCUGAUCCAGCCAUACCGCGUGGGUGAAGAAGGCCUUCGGGUUGUAAAGCCCUUUUGUUGGGAAAGAAAAGCAGCAGGUUAAUACCCCGCUGUUCUGACGGUACCCAAAGAAUAAGCACCGGCUAACUUCGUG